GGUAGUCCACGCCGUAAACGAUGUCAACUAGCUGUUGGGGCCUUCGGGCCUUAGGUAGCGCAGCUAACGCGUGAAGUUGACCGCCUGGGGAGUACGGUCGCAAGAUUAAAACUCAAAGGAAUUGACGGGGACCCGCACAAGCGGUGGAUGAUGUGGAUUAAUUCGAUGCAACGCGAAAAACCUUACCUACCCUUGACAUGUCUGGAAUUCCGAAGAGAUUUGGAAGUGCUCGCAAGAGAACCGGAACACAGGUGCUGCAUGGCUGUCGUCAGCUCGUGUCGUGAGAUGUUGGGUUAAGUCCCGCAACGAGCGCAACCCUUGUCAUUAGUUGCUACGAAAGGGCACUCUAAUGAGACUGCCGGUGACAAACCGGAGGAAGGUGGGGAUGACGUCAAGUCCUCAUGGCCCUUAUGGGUAGGGCUUCACACGUCAUACAAUGGUCGGGACAGAGGGUCGCCAACCCGCGAGGGGGAGCCAAUCCCAGAAACCCGAUCGUAGUCCGGAUCGCAGUCUGCAACUCGACUGCGUGAAGUCGGAAUCGCUAGUAAUCGCGGAUCAGCAUGUCGCGGUGAAUACGUUCCCGGGUCUUGUACACACCGCCCGUCACACCAUGGGAGUGGGUUUUACCAGAAGUAGUUAGCCUAACCGCAAGGGGGGCGAUUACCACGGUAGGAUUCAUGACUGGGGUGAAGUCGUAACAAGGUAACC
rnacentral:rRNA from 1 species